UACAGAGGUCUCAAGCGUUGUUCGGAUUCAUUGGGCGUAAAGGGUGCGUAGGCGGCGCGGUAAGUCGGGUGUGAAAUCUCGGGGCUUAACUCCGAAACUGCAUUCGAUACUGCCGUGCUUGAGGACUGGAGAGGAGACUGGAAUUUACGGUGUAGCGGUGAAAUGCGUAGAUAUCAGGAGGAACACCGGUGGUGUAGACGGCUCUCUGGACCGUAACUGACGCUGAGACACGAAAGCGUGGGUAGCAAACAGG
rnacentral:rRNA from 1 species